CUAAGGGAAGAUAGAGGCAGACUAAGAUCAAAGGAAUUUCCCAGAGGGACCAGCAGUCCCUUCAUUUGAACUAGAACAACAAAAAAGCCAGAGGAAUUUAUGACUCACAGGGAGGCGGGUGGACGGUGACUUGGGGCGGGGGUCAUUUAACUUCUCUAUCCAUACUUCCCCACUCCCCUAGUCAAUCUCAGUCUCUUCCACGUCCACAAAGGGUGAGCCUGAGACCCAGGCUUGCCAGAAUGAGGGAGAUUCGGGGAGCGGGGAGAUAAUGAGCGCCCCUCUCCGUAGAGGGCCAACCAGACGUGAUUCUCCGUGGGACUCAGAACUUUAAUUGCUCCGGGAGAACUGGGUAAACGUCAUCAGUCACUCAUACCUCUGUCAACUGGCUCAUCUGACACUUCACUCCAGGUGCACGGAAGGCCCCAACAAAUAAGCUUGUGGAACUAUGAAGACCAUGUGAAUCACGUGUCAUGUUUUGUGCUCCCUAGCAAAGAGAAAAGAGGAAGAAAUACUGGUCUCCCAGGCUGUAUGUUGUGCUGAAUCCCACCCCACCGCAGGACAGCUGGGGCCUUUGACCACCCCUGGACUCCUCUUCGCCUCCAAUCAUCUUAUCAGGAAGGCCCCUUCUCCCAGGACACCAAAGGAACCCAAGUAGAAACUUCUCAGGACCCAUGAGAGAAACAUGAGCAUUUCUUCUGCAGCUUUGUAGAGCUCUUGAAUAUGUUCUGGAUGCAAGAAGUCCAAGAUCAAGAUGUCAGCAGGGUUCCACAAGAUGGGGGAAAAUAUUUGCAAAUGAUGUGACCGACAAGGGAUUAAUCUCCAAAAUAUACAAACAGCUCAUGCAGCUCUAUGUCAAAAAAACAAACAACCCAAUCAAAAAAUGGGCAGAGGACCUAAAUAGGCAUUUCUCCAAAGAAGACAUAGAGACGGCCAAGAAGCAUAUGAAAAGAUGCUCAACAUCACUAAUUAUCAGAGAAAUGCAAAUCAAAACUCCAGUGAGGUAUCGCCUCACACCAGUCAGAAUGGCCAUCAUCAAAAAGUCUACAAACAAUAAAUGCUGGAGAGGUUGUGGAGAAAAGUGAACCCUCCUACACUGUUGGUGGGUUUGUAAAUUGGUACAUCCCCUAUGGAGAACAGUAUGGAGGCUCCUUAAAAAACUUAAAAUAGAACUACUGUAUGACCCAGCAAUCCCACUCCUGACAUACAUCCAGAGAAAACCAUAAUCCAAAAGGAUACAUGCACCCCAAUGUUUAUUGCAGCACUAUUUACAAUAACCAAGACAUGAAAGCAACCUAAAUAUCCAUUGACAGAGGAACAGGUGAGGAAGAUGUGGUACAUAUAUACAGUGGAAUAUUACUUAGCCACAAAAAAUAAUGAAAUAAUGCCAUUUGCAGCAACAUGGAUGGACCUAGAGAUUUUCAUACUAAGUGAAGUAAGUCAGAGAAAGACAAAUAUAUGAUAUCACUCAUAUGUGGACUCUAAUUAUUUUAAAAAGGUACAAAUGAACUUAUUUACAAAACAGACUUACAGAUAUUGAAAACAAACUUACGGUUACCAAAGGGGAAACAUGGGGUGUGGAUAAAUCAGGAGCUUGGUAUGAACACACACUGCUAUAUAUAAGAUAGAUAACCACCAAAGACCUACUGUAUAGCACAGGGAAUGCUAUUCAAUAUUCUGUGAUAACCUGUGUGAGUAAAGAAUCUACAAAAGAAUGAAUGUAUGUAUAUGUAUAAGUGAAUCACUUUGCCAUACACCUGAAACUAACACAACAUUGUAAAUCAACUCUACUCCAAUAAAAUUAAAACAUUAAAAAAAA